UAGAGUUUUGAUCUGGCUCAGAUUGAACGCUGGCGGCAGGCCUAACACAUGCAAGUCGAGCGGCAGCGACAACAUUGACCCUUCGGGGGAUUUGUUGGGCGGCGAGCGGCGGACGGGUGAGUAAUGGCUGGGAACCUGCCCGAUAGAGGGGGAUAACAGUUGGAAACGACUGCUAAUACCGCAUGAUGUCUACGGACCAAAGGAGGGGAUCUUCGGACCUUUCGCUAUCGGAUGGGCCCAGUUGGGAUUAGCUAGUUGGUGAGGUAAUGGCUCACCAAGGCGACGAUCCCUAGCUGGUUUGAGAGGAUGAUCAGCCACACUGGAACUGAGACACGGUCCAGACUCCUACGGGAGGCAGCAGUGGGGAAUAUUGCACAAUGGGCGCAAGCCUGAUGCAGCCAUGCCGCGUGUGUGAAGAAGGCCUUCGGGUUGUAAAGCACUUUCAGCAGUGAGGAAGGUUACGUAGUUAAUACCCUGCGUGAUUGACCGU
rnacentral:rRNA from 1 species